rnacentral:rRNA from 1 species
AGCGUACACGGUGGAUGCCCUGGCAGUCAGAGGCGAUGAAGGACGUGCUAAUCUGCGAUAAGCGUCGGUAAGGUGAUAUGAACCGUUAUAACCGGCGAUUUCCGAAUGGGGAAACCCAGUGUGAUUCGUCACACUAUCAUUAACUGAAUCCAUAGGUUAAUGAGGCGAACCGGGGGAACUGAAACAUCUAAGUACCCCGAGGAAAAGAAAUCAACCGAGAUUCCCCCAGUAGCGGCGAGCGAACGGGGAGCAGCCCAGAGCCUGAAUCAGUGUGUGUGUUAGUGGAAGCGUCUGGAAAGGCGUGCGAUACAGGGUGACAGCCCCGUACACAAAAAUGCACAUGCUGUGAGCUCGAUGAGUAGGGCGGGACACGUGGUAUCCUGUCUGAAUAUGGGGGGACCAUCCUCCAAGGCUAAAUACUCCUGACUGACCGAUAGUGAACCAGUACCGUGAGGGAAAGGCGAAAAGAACCCCGGCGAGGGGAGUGAAAAAGAACCUGAAACCGUGUACGUACAAGCAGUGGGAGCACGCUUAGGCGUGUGACUGCGUACCUUUUGUAUAAUGGGUCAGCGACUUAUAUUCUGUAGCAAGGUUAACCGAAUAGGGGAGCCGAAGGGAAACCGAGUCUUAACUGGGCGUUAAGUUGCAGGGUAUAGACCCGAAACCCGGUGAUCUAGCCAUGGGCAGGUUGAAGGUUGGGUAACACUAACUGGAGGACCGAACCGACUAAUGUUGAAAAAUUAGCGGAUGACUUGUGGCUGGGGGUGAAAGGCCAAUCAAACCGGGAGAUAGCUGGUUCUCCCCGAAAGCUAUUUAGGUAGCGCCUCGUGAAUUCAUCUCCGGGGGUAGAGCACUGUUUCGGCAAGGGGGUCAUCCCGACUUACCAACCCGAUGCAAACUGCGAAUACCGGAGAAUGUUAUCACGGGAGACACACGGCGGGUGCUAACGUCCGUCGUGAAGAGGGAAACAACCCAGACCGCCAGCUAAGGUCCCAAAGUCAUGGUUAAGUGGGAAACGAUGUGGGAAGGCCCAGACAGCCAGGAUGUUGGCUUAGAAGCAGCCAUCAUUUAAAGAAAGCGUAAUAGCUCACUGGUCGAGUCGGCCUGCGCGGAAGAUGUAACGGGGCUAAACCAUGCACCGAAGCUGCGGCAGCGACGCUGAUGCGUUGUUGGGUAGGGGAGCGUUCUGUAAGCCUGCGAAGGUGUGCUGUGAGGCAUGCUGGAGGUAUCAGAAGUGCGAAUGCUGACAUAAGUAACGAUAAAGCGGGUGAAAAGCCCGCUCGCCGGAAGACCAAGGGUUCCUGUCCAACGUUAAUCGGGGCAGGGUGAGUCGACCCCUAAGGCGAGGCCGAAAGGCGUAGUCGAUGGGAAACAGGUUAAUAUUCCUGUACUUGGUGUUACUGCGAAGGGGGGACGGAGAAGGCUAUGUUGGCCGGGCGACGGUUGUCCCGGUUUAAGCGUGUAGGCUGGUUUUCCAGGCAAAUCCGGAAAAUCAAGGCUGAGGCGUGAUGACGAGGCACUACGGUGCUGAAGCAACAAAUGCCCUGCUUCCAGGAAAAGCCUCUAAGCAUCAGGUAACAUCAAAUCGUACCCCAAACCGACACAGGUGGUCAGGUAGAGAAUACCAAGGCGCUUGAGAGAACUCGGGUGAAGGAACUAGGCAAAAUGGUGCCGUAACUUCGGGAGAAGGCACGCUGAUAUGUAGGUGAAGCGACUUGCUCGUGGAGCUGAAAUCAGUCGAAGAUACCAGCUGGCUGCAACUGUUUAUUAAAAACACAGCACUGUGCAAACACGAAAGUGGACGUAUACGGUGUGACGCCUGCCCGGUGCCGGAAGGUUAAUUGAUGGGGUCAGCGCAAGCGAAGCUCUUGAUCGAAGCCCCGGUAAACGGCGGCCGUAACUAUAACGGUCCUAAGGUAGCGAAAUUCCUUGUCGGGUAAGUUCCGACCUGCACGAAUGGCGUAAUGAUGGCCAGGCUGUCUCCACCCGAGACUCAGUGAAAUUGAACUCGCUGUGAAGAUGCAGUGUACCCGCGGCAAGACGGAAAGACCCCGUGAACCUUUACUAUAGCUUGACACUGAACAUUGAGCCUUGAUGUGUAGGAUAGGUGGGAGGCUUUGAAGUGUGGACGCCAGUCUGCAUGGAGCCGACCUUGAAAUACCACCCUUUAAUGUUUGAUGUUCUAACGUGGACCCGUGAUCCGGGUUGCGGACAGUGUCUGGUGGGUAGUUUGACUGGGGCGGUCUCCUCCUAAAGAGUAACGGAGGAGCACGAAGGUUGGCUAAUCCUGGUCGGACAUCAGGAGGUUAGUGCAAUGGCAUAAGCCAGCUUGACUGCGAGCGUGACGGCGCGAGCAGGUGCGAAAGCAGGUCAUAGUGAUCCGGUGGUUCUGAAUGGAAGGGCCAUCGCUCAACGGAUAAAAGGUACUCCGGGGAUAACAGGCUGAUACCGCCCAAGAGUUCAUAUCGACGGCGGUGUUUGGCACCUCGAUGUCGGCUCAUCACAUCCUGGGGCUGAAGUAGGUCCCAAGGGUAUGGCUGUUCGCCAUUUAAAGUGGUACGCGAGCUGGGUUUAGAACGUCGUGAGACAGUUCGGUCCCUAUCUGCCGUGGGCGCUGGAGAACUGAGGGGGGCUGCUCCUAGUACGAGAGGACCGGAGUGGACGCAUCACUGGUGUUCGGGUUGUCAUGCCAAUGGCACUGCCCGGUAGCUAAAUGCGGAAGAGAUAAGUGCUGAAAGCAUCUAAGCACGAAACUUGCCCCGAGAUGAGUUCUCCCUGACUCCUUGA